rnacentral:lncRNA from 10 species
CAGCCUCUGGAGUAGCUGAGAGUACAAGCACAUGCCGGUAUGCCUGGCUAAUUUUUGUAAAUUUUUUUUUUUUUGGAGAGAGGGGGUUUUGCCAUGUUGCUCAGGCUGGUCUCAAACUCCUGGGCUCAAGCAAUUCUCCCACCUCACCCUCCCAAAGUGCUGGCAUUACAGGCAUGAGCCACCGCGCCCAACCUUCAUGUAUUAUUCUUGAAUCUAAAAGGAAAAAAGAAUAUGUAUUUUUGUAGUGAUUGCUGGAGCCCUCUUUCCUAGGUUGGCUGUGGUCAGUUUGCAGCACAGUCCUAAUGUUAAUCAGCUUGAGAAUCCUGGCAUAGCCAGGCCAUGUGGAGUAGCGGGCACGCUGUGAGGGACAAGAGAUUACAGCGAGCUCAGAAGCAGAGCAAUGUUUUUCUCCCGGUGCAGGAAAACAUGAAGAACGGGGAAAGUAGCUGCCGCAUGCCAAUGUGAAACUCCGAGGAGUCUAGCCAUUCUGAUCUGGCCUUCCAGGUCAUUAGGAGGCUCUGCCAUCGUGUGAGGAGGUAUGCUAUAUUUUAUCUAGCAGUUUGUUAGCUUGCUUUAAAACUUUUAAUACUUAGACAUUUGGUUUGUGACCCUGCCAGGGAAAGCCUGCUGUCUGGAGAGCACACUGGUCUCCAGCGUGGGGAGAGAGAGCACUUUCGGGCUUUGCUGAGGAGGGUCUUCAGAAAAAAGAGUAAGUUGGCAUCUCCUCGCACAGGUGCUUGGCUUGCCAGACCUAGGGGCAUUCUCACAUCACCUUUUCAGCUGAGGAAACUGAAAGUCCCAAGGUCACGCAGCUGGGAAUAUAUGACCAAACGGCCUUCACCUUCCCCUAAAUGAUGUUUCAAAUGACAAAAUAAGGGGACAAGGGUGUGCAGCUCGGACAUGGAGGGCAGAAGGUGCUCAGGAAGGAUCUUCUGCAUGCAGGAGCCUCCUCUCUCGAAGGGUGUUCUCCAAUCAUGAGCUUAUUUGCUGUUUACAUGCCCGAGGAGGACUGACCUUAGCAGCUAUGAUGACCUCAUUUAUCACUGUGGAUAAGCACUUGGCCAGGGUCUCAGCCAGCACCCCAGGCCCAGCCUCCUGGUUUACUCAUUUCUGGGGGUGGUGGCAUCUGCCCACUGUCCUGAACUUUCCUCUGCUUGGGUAGGGACAGGGAGCCCCAGCAGCACUUGUUCCAGGAUGACCCAGCAAAUUGCAAGGUGGCAUUUGGCCUUUUCCUCAGCAAUUGCCAGACUUUGUCCCAGGGUGAGGAGGAAGCAGUGGUGUGAUUUCAAUCUCAGCUCACUGCAACCUCUGCCUCCCCGGUUCAGGUACUGCCAACAAGAAGGCCCAAUCAAGAUCCUCCCACAACAAGAGCAGAUUGUGAGCGUGGCAAGCUCUAUGCUGAGCACUGGAAGGACAAAGAGAGAUUGGGCACAGACUUCUCACUGAUCCAGGUGAUGAAGAGCUCACAUCUGAGAGGAUGUGACCAUGGAUGACCCACCAGAAUGUCAUGGGAUCCAGCUACAGCCAAGGAAGCACAGAGCACCGUGGGAGCGAUUUAUUGUGCUUGGGGAUGGGGAAGGGGACAUGGGAGGAGCCAUAUUGAGAAAGUAGCAUGGGUACUUGGCUUCACAGAGUGUGGCAGCUUUCAUCAGGAAGUGAUGGUGGGGGAACAGCGUCUCUGGCGGAGGGAAGCAGCAGGUGCAGAGGUGCAGAGGUGUGAGGAGUCUGUCACAUUCUGGGAAGGGAGUAUGGUUGGGUGACAAUGCAAGACAGAGAAAGCAAGGAGGGAAGGAGGGGCCUAGCCUGAGGAAUAAAGAAUAAUAAAAGCAGGAAAACAAU